rnacentral:sRNA from 1 species
CAGCCUCAAGCUGCCAGGCUUCAGCUGUUGGAUCAACACAGUACAGAACUUCACAACACUGUUUAUUUUCAACACUUCGAUACUUGUCAGGAAAAUUGUUGGAAUCGACUUCCGGCGAGGUGGUCAGCUCCAACCAGGAGGGGAGGUGACUCGAUCAUCUGAGGCGCGGCUCUGUUCCUCGUCCCGAGGAACCAAUUUCAAGGGUAACCAGCCACAUCCGCCACAACCUCCAUGUUUAAUUUGGUCAAACUGGAAGGCUCGAAACACUGCGCCACGUCUUUUCCCAGUGUCCCUGAUUCAAGAAGAUCAUCAUCAUCAACUGGUGUAUCCUGGUGCUAGGCCUGGAAAUUGAUCAAUGCUUUGCAAUCUGGCCAUUCCAUACACGAUCAUCAGGGGCACAGGAAGGUGGCGCGGCAUCAAUCGAAUGGCGGAGAGGAUGAAGAGCGACAUGUUGCGCCUGCAGGACCCUCCACGACAAGCAGCAUCGAACGAUGAAGCGCAAAUGCGAGCAGUCUCAGUCCACCAACAGACAGCGAUCCGGAUUUAAGUCUCUUUCUGGUGGACGUCUGGAGCACAGUCUAAACCCCCCAAUGGAGGAUCGGGCAGCGACUACCGCACAAUUUAGUUGACUAGCCGAUCUCCAGCAGAAGGUCUGCCUCAACAACCGGGACAACCGCCUCCGCUGCCUUACUAAAAUCAGCAAGAAGACGCAUUCAAAGCCCUAGUCGAGCAGGAGCCCUCCAGAAGGAGUUGCGGAUGCAGUCCGACCUCGAGAAGGAAGCGGAGAGGAGCGACAAGAUUGGUUCAAUAGAAGUACUGGAAGUACUACCGGAAAAGGAGAUGCAAAUGCCGCGGGAAUCUGAUUAACGACCAACUUAACAUCCAUCUUGACCGAUCUCGAAAGGAACUUCUUCCUGUUGAACCCACUCGACGUGGCCGGCCACUCUUCAUGUUCCGUUGGCCACUAGCUAAAAGUGGCUUGUUUUUCAUUGGAAGAAGCAUCAGCAUGGACUGAUGGACUGAUGGACUGAUGGUAGGAGUUUGGUCCGAAUCCAAAGCGUUUACCACGUUCUAGGCCUGGGGACAGAAGACACUUGUUGAUGUUGAUGGUGUUCCUGGAUCAGUCCUCGCUGGAAGAAGUACUGGCGCAUCGUUCCGAUCCAGCCAGAUUGAACAUAUUGAACAUGGGGGGGCUGCGCGUUUAUGGCUCCGGCUCCUUCUACACCUACAACUACUAUGUUUCACUCGGCAGAUACCUAAAAGGCAUAAAAGUGUGUGAAAGGAUUGCAAA